ACACAUACACGUGUGCGAGCUGAGGCACCGGGGGCUGGAGGUAGAAGCGCGCCAUGCGGCUGCUGCGCUUGUUCUGUCCCCGGACACCGCUGGCUUGCUUCCCUUGUCAGCUGUGUGGGGACUGGCAGAGGGUGUGAGAGCGGGAAACGACCGGACGAGCGGCGGGGAGCGUCCUCGGUGAGGAGGAGGAAGUCUGGUCUUAGGUGUGAAGGGUGCUGACGCGUUCCGGCGCCUCACGGUGUCAUUCUCGGCUUCUGAGCGUUGCCCUACGCCGCAGCGGGUUUUCCUCAGCUGUGAAGCGCGGCUGCGGCCUGCCCGGGCUUCCCCCGGCCGGGAAGGUUCUGACGCCCGAGCCCAGCGCGGGCUUGGGCCUCCGCUGUCGGGCCAGGCUGGUCGCUCCGGGGCUGGGAGUUACGGCACCGGGGUUGGGGCGGAGAAGGCGAACUGGUUCAACUCGACCCAGUUAAGCAAGCGCAGCAGUGUGUGUUCUUGGAUCAUAGUAUUUCAUGUAAACAUUUUGAUUUAAGAGAAACAAAAGGGAAAAUAUUAACCGUUUUCAAGCAUCCAAAGGCGAAAUGCUUCAUCUCUGGGAUGGAGUAAAGGAGUAGCCUCUGAGGUUGAGUUGCAGUCGUGGGUGCAAGAAGCAGCGCUGAAGCGGAGUGCAGCGCCGGAAUAGGGCGGGAUGGAAUGGCGUGGGCAGUUCAGAAACCCGCGAGGAGUCCAGGGCGGAACAGGUAGGGAGCAGGGGAUUGUACUGAAAGAUGAAACUGAAAGAGGGGUACCGGAGACCAGAUCAUGAAAAGCCAUAUUAGGCUAACUGUGGCGCUUAUGCUUAAUCCUCAUUGACAGAUCUUGAGAUCAUUUUGAAAAAUCACUUUGUCUUCAGUUUGGUAAAAGUUUGGAGAAGGGCAGGACUUGGAAAACCAGCUUAGGGAGACCAAAUAGUAGUGACCUCCAAGGGAGAAACUGGACAGAAAGAAUAUUUAUAUUUUGUACCACAGAACUCCGGGGGUAUUGUUUUCUCCUUUAAUUUUACUUGAAAAAGUAAUAAAUGCACAUGCUAAAAAAUUCAGAACAUACAAAAGAAUAUACAAAGACUAUUAAGGUGUAGGAUUGUAGAGGGUUGAAUAGGAUCCCCCAAAAUUCACGUCCACCUAGACCCUCACAAUAUUAACUUAUUUGGAAAUAGGGUUUUUGCAGAUGUAAUUAGUUAAGAUGAGGUCACACUGGUAUAGAGUGAGCCGUAAAGCCAAUGGUUGGCGCCCUUAGAAGAAGACACGUAGAUAAAUGAGCACAGAGGGAAGAAGGUCAUUUGGAGAUAGAAGCAGGGAUUGGAGUGAUGCAACUGGAAGCCAAGAAACGCCGCAGAAUGCCAGGAGCCAGCAGAAGCUAAGAAAAGGCAAGGAUUAUUCCAAAGUGCCUUCCGAAGAAGCUUGGCCCUGCCAAAAACCUGAUUUCAGACUUCUAGCCCCCAAAACUGCAAGAGAAUAAAUUUUGUUGUUUUAGGACACACAGUUUGUGGUACUUUGUCAUGACCACCCCAGGAAACUCAUAUAGGGAUCAAGUUAUAAAUUCUAUCAGGCCAAAUUUAUUGAUAUGGACCCACCAGAGAUUCUGGAUUCAAUGUUUUAUCUCAGAGGCUUAGAAAAAGCUCUAAUGCUAUGUUUAAUCGCUGAGUAUGUCUUUUCCAAUUAUGCAUGUCAAACUAGGAAAAUAACCACAGGAUGCGUUUGGGGACCCACUGAGCCCACCGUGAGAAGGAUCUGAGUGAAAACUCCAUUGAUCGUUUAACCUCCAUCCACCCAGAAAGGCCUAUGUUAAAUGAAGUUGAAGCGCCAGAACUGCCUAGGUAUCUGUAGAGAAAGGUAUCCACAGGCUUGGGGAGAUUAGAAUAUUAGAGUGGAUUUAUCAUUUAAGACCUGCUUACCCACCCCAGGAGGGUCCAGAGGACAUACCUUUCACCAUGACUAAGAAAUAAAUUUGUGAGGAGAAUCCUAGCAUCCUUGAAGAGAUCUGUGGCUGCUCUUUAGUCACAUAUAUCUUACAGUGGAAACUGCUACUAUCAAACUAGGAUUCCUAAGUGCCCCCCCAGGGUGGCACUUAAUUGCCAAAAAGUAGGUGGGCAUGAUUACUAUAAUUACCAGCAGAGCUAAAACAAUAUUGUCUUACAGAGGCGUGUGCUGUUGGUCAGUUAAUCGUUGUGUCUCUAGGAAACAGAUAUCCUAACUUGCAUCACCAAAACAGUCACAACCUCUCAAUCAGUUCCCAGACUUGAGCCGGUUUACACUCUCAGAACUCUGAAUGAAGGAGAGGCUGGAUCCUCUUGAGGAAGGACUCUGCUACAUUGCCAAAAAUGUAUAUUGCUAUUUCCCCCAAAGAGACCAAUAGCCAUCUACCAGGGUAACUGUGCAUUGGGGGAAGAGAAAUAAUCAGAUUUGUCAGGGAUUACUACACAGUGGCUCUGACCUGAUACUAAUCUGGGGAAACCAAAAGCUUUACUCGGCCUACCAGUCAGAGUAGAGGCUUAAUGGAGGUCAAGUUAUCAAUGGAGUUUCAGCUCAGGUUCAUCUCUCAUUAGACCCGUUGAGUCCCUGGACCCAUCCUGUGCUUCUAUUUCCCCAGUUCCAGAAUGCAUAAUUAAAAGAGAUAUAUUCAGCCUGGUACAGUGGUUCAUACCUGUAUUCCCAGCACUUUGGGAGGCCGAGGUGGGCAGAUCACUAGGUCAGUAGUUCAAGACCAGCCUGGCCAACAUGGUGAAACCCCGUUUCUACUAAAAAUACAACAAC
rnacentral:antisense_RNA from 1 species